rnacentral:rRNA from 1 species
GGCUAAAUACUCCCUAGUGACCGAUAGUGCACCAGUACCGUGAGGGAAAGGUGAAAAGCACCCCGGAAGGGGAGUGAAAGAGAACCUGAAACCGUGUGCCUACAAGUAGUCAGAGCGCGUUCAUGCGUGAUGGCGUGCCUUUUGUAGAAUGAACCGGCGAGUGACGAUGGCGUGCGAGGUUAAGCCGAAGAGGCGGAGCCGCAGCGAAAGCGAGUCUGAACAGGGCGAAAAGUACGUCGUCGUCGACCCGAAACCAGGUGAUCUACCCAUGUCCAGGGUGAAGGCCGGGUAACACCGGCUGGAGGCCCGAACCCACGCACGUUGAAAAGUGCGGGGAUGAGGUGUGGGUAGGGGUGAAAUGCCAAUCGAACUUGGAGAUAGCUGGUUCUCCCCGAAAUAGCUUUAGGGCUAGCCUCGGGAUGGAGAGUGUUGGAGGUAGAG